rnacentral:rRNA from 1 species
UUUGAUCCUGGCUCAGAACGAACGCUGGCGGCGUGCCUAACACAUGCAAGUCGAACGAGAAAGUCCUUUCGGGGGCGAGUAAAGUGGCAGACGGGUGAGUAACACGUAAGGAACCUACCUCUGACUCUGGAAUAACAGGGCGAAAGUCUUGCUAAUACCGGAUACGAUCAUGUGGCGUAUGCCAUGUGAUGAAAGACAGCCUCUGCUUGCAUGCUAUCAGUCGGAGAGGGCCUUGCGGCCUAUUAGCUAGUUGGUGAGGUAACGGCCCACCAAGGCUACGAUGGGUAGCCGACCUGAGAGGGUGACCGGCCACACUGGAACUGAGACACGGUCCAGACUCCUACGGGAGGCAGCAGUGGGGAAUCUUGCGCAAUGGGGGCAACCCUGACGCAGCAACGCCGCGUGGGCGAUGAAGGUCUUCGGAUUGUAAAGCCCUGUCAAGGGGGAAGAAAUGCAUGGGAUUUAACAGAUCCUAUGUUUGACGGUACCCCUAGAGGAAGCCCCGGCUAACUCCGUGCCAGCAGCCGCGGUAAUACGGAGGGGGCAAGCGUUGUUCGGAAUUACUGGGCGUAAAGCGCACGUAGGCGGUCUUGUAAGUCGAGUGUGAAAUCCCUCAGCUUAACUGAGGAACUGCGCUUGAAACUACUUGACUUGAGUACAGGAGAGGAGAGUGGAAUUCCCAAUGUAGCGGUGGAAUGCGUAGAUAUUGGGAGGAACACCGGUGGCGAAGGCGUCUCUCUGGACUGAUACUGACGCUGAGGUGCGAAAGCUAGGGGAGCAAACGGGAUUAGAUACCCCGGUAGUCCUAGCCGUAAACGAUGGGCACUAGGUGUGG